AAAAAAUAAUGUCAGACUUUAACGUUUACAUGUGCAGCUCUCACGGUUGUUAUUUGUGUUAAAUAACGCAUAAAGCGUGCAGCGUCAAAUUGAGAUGUUACCAUGGUUACCAAGGGCCUCCAAACAUAACAGGACUCUAACAGCCACAGCUUCAUUCACUGAGGUGCUACAUGUUUCUAAGGUAAAAUCAGAGGUAAGCGCUACUUUAGAUGAAUGAUCAUUGCCUAUCUUUAAAGAAAAUACAAAUGAAUUUAAAAAAAUAUAUCAUGUAAGUUAAGCAAUAGUGAAGCGUCUCCAUGUUUUAUUGUGAUGUUGUAAUGUCAUGAUAGGAUCAAAUCUCUCUUGAUAAAUGCACCUGGAUGAGAUAGUAAAUUUAACACAGUAAUUUCUUUCCAGCAAGACUGUCACAAGCGUUAAGUGCCCUUCCAUAAGACCAAUUAGAAACUGAGAAAAUGUACAAAGUGGAUUUGCCUGUAGACCAGUCCAUUGAAAAGGCUGUGGAGAGGCGAAGGUCCGCAGAGACAGUACGCAAGGCCCGGAUCUUCAACACCCGGCUCCGUGUCAUGGGCCUCGACACUGAUGCUCUCAACCAACAGGUCCAGGAGAAAAAAAAUAAGCAAGACAUGGAGCUGCAACGGGACAAAGCAUUCGAUACACUGAGACGGUAUCAUGAUCACGCACUGCUGUUGCAAGACAUUAAAGAAAGAGAGAAGCGGGCAGCUUUGCACACUGACCUGACCCAGUACUGGUCCACUCACCAGCGUGUAGAGGACUCUCGAGAUGCUGAUCUCAUGUGUGGCCUGAAGGGGGCAUUCAGGAUCACCGAGGAUAAGCUGGGGCCUGCCAGUAUGCAAAUCUUUCAGGGAGAGGGAAUUGGAGAGGAGCAAAACAGGAGAGAACAAAUGAUGAAGACAGAAAGAGAUCUACGAGCACAGAAGGAAGACAAUGAGAGAAGGCGUAUGGAAAACAAGCACAGAGAGAUGCUCAUGAGUAAAGAGCUGGUGCAGCAGGACCUUAGGGGGGUUCACCUGCGUGCACUAGAGGAGGAGAGUAAGAAAGCUGCCUGCAUUGCACUCGCCAACUACAAUCAAGCUCUGGCUGCGGAGCAGGCAGAGAAACUGAAGGAGCAGCAUAGGAGGGAGGAAAGGGACAAUGUUGCCGAGAUUUUUCACACGAUGACAUCCGACAUGAUGACAGAGUGUGCAGAGGCAGCAGAGAGAGAGGUGGGAGGAGGUAGACCACCUCAGCUUCUGGUAGACAAGUGGAAGGGGAUGAGCCCCAGGCAGCUGAGCGCCAUCCACAGGGAAAGAGAAGAACAACGUCUUGAGAGACAGACCUUUAUCUCUUGCCUUCUUAGAGACAACGUGAUGCUGAGAAGGCUCAGGAUGCAGCUUGGGAUCUCCAGGCCCUGAAGCUGUCGAGAGAAGCAGAGGCAGAGGAGAGGAGAGCAGCAGAGUUGAGGAGAGAGAAGAGGCUUCAGACAGAUCAUUACAACAUGCAACUGGCCAGAGAACAGUGGGAAUAUCAGGAGUACCUGAACAAGGAGCUAUACACCAACAAACCCACCAAGGACUAUUUUCAUCAAUUCAACACCAGCUCCCGCUGACCACCACACCUUUCUUUGACAAUGUGCUAAUAAAAUCUACUGACACAUUCAACAUGAA